rnacentral:rRNA from 1 species
ACGGCGAGUGAAGCGGCAACAGCUCAAAUUUGAAAUCUGGCGUCUUUGGCGUCCGAGUUGUAAUUUGCAGAGGGCGCUUUGGCAUUGGCAGCGGUCCAAGUUCCUUGGAACAGGACGUCACAGAGGGUGAGAAUCCCGUACGUGGUCGCUAGCCUUUACCGUGUAAAGCCCCUUCGACGAGUCGAGUUGUUUGGGAAUGCAGCUCUAAAUGGGAGGUAAAUUUCUUCUAAAGCUAAAUACUGGCCAGAGACCGAUAGCGCACAAGUAGAGUGAUCGAAAGAUGAAAAGCACUUUGGAAAGAGAGUUAAAAAGCACGUGAAAUUGUUGAAAGGGAAGCGCUUGCAGCCAGACUUGCCUGUAGUUGCUCAUCCGGGUUUUUACCCGGUGCACUCUUCUGCGGGCAGGCCAGCAUCAGUUUGGGCGGUUGGAUAAAGGUCUCUGUCAUGUACCUCUCUUCGGGGAGAACUUAUAGGGGAGACGACAUGCAACCAGCCUGGACUGAGGUCCGCGCAUCUGCUAGGAUGCUGGCGUAAUGGCUGUAAGCGGCCCGUCUUGAAACACGGACCAAGGAGUCUAACAUCUAUGCGAGUGUUUGGGUGUCAAGCCCGAGCGCGUAAUGAAAGUGAACGGAGGUGGGAACCUUUCGGGGUGCACCAUCGACCGAUCCUGAUGUCUUUGGAUGGAUUUGAGUAAGAGCAUAGCUGUUGGGACCCGAAAGAUGGUGAACUAUGCUUGAAUAGGGUGAAGCCAGAGGAAACUCUGGUGGAGGCUCGCAGCGGUUCUGACGUGCAAAUCGAUCGUCAAAUUUGGGCAUAGGGGCGAAAGACU